UACGAAGGGGGCGAGCGUUGUUCGGAUUUACUGGGCGUAAAGGGCGCGCAGGCGGCCACUCAAGUCAGGCGUGAAAGCCCCGGGCUUAACCUGGGAACUGCGUCUGGGACUGAGAGGCUAGAGAUCGGGAGAGGAGAGUGGAAUUCCCAGUGUAGAGGUGAAAUUCGUAGAUAUUGGGAAGAACACCAGUGGCGAAGGCGGCUCUCUGGACCGAUACUGACGCUGAGGCGCGAAAGCGUGGGGAGCAAACAGG
rnacentral:rRNA from 1 species